CCCCAUGCUACAGCUGCCGCAACGUUGGGAUAUACCUCGAAUAAGGCCGAGUUGCGGGAGAACCCUUCAAUAUCCUUCACCUCUGCUGGCCAACUACGCCAGAGCCACCUGUCACCAAAUAUGGCAGCAAAACCUGUGGUUGCUGCUGCAUUUGUCCAGAUGACGGGGGAAUGUAUCGACAACUGUGGGAGAAACAUGCUCC